rnacentral:rRNA from 1 species
CAAUAGCGUAUAUUAACGUUGUUGCAGUUAAAAAGCUCGUAGUUGGAUUUCUGGAGGGAGCGUCGGCCCGUAUUUACGAGUGCGUGACGUCUCUGUCCAUCCUUGCGGGAAGGCACGGCAUUGAUUUGUUGUGUCGGAUCGCAUCAUUUACUGUGAAAAAAUUAGAGUGUUCAAAGCAGGCUUUCGCUUGAAUACAUUAGCAUGGAAUAAUAAGAUAGGACUUUGGUGCUGUUUUGUUGGUUGAGCCUAAAGUAAUGAUUAAUAGGGAUAGUUGGGGGCACCUGUACUGCGUUGUCAGAGGUGAAAUUCUUGGAUUUACGCAAGACAAACAGCUGCGAAAGCGUCUGCCAAGGAUGUUUUCAUUAA